GACGAACGCUGGCGGCGUGCUUAACACAUGCAAGUCGAACGGAAAGGCCCUGCUUUUGUGGGGUGCUCGAGUGGCGAACGGGUGAGUAACACGUGAGUAACCUGCCCUUGACUUUGGGAUAACUUCAGGAAACUGGGGCUAAUACCGGAUAGGAUCUCCUGCUGCAUGGUGGGGGUUGGAAAGUUUCGGCGGUUGGGGAUGGACUCGCGGCUUAUGAGCUUGUUGGGGGGGUAGUGGCUUACCAAGGCUUUGACGGGUAGCCGGCCUGAGAGGGUGACCGGCCACAUGGGGACUGAGGUACGGCGCAGACUCCUACGGGAGGCAGCAAGGGGGAAUAUUGCACAAUGGGCGGAAGCCUGAUGCAGCAACGUCGCGUGCGGGAUGACGGCCUUCGGGUUGUAAACCGCUUUCGCCUGUGACGAAGCGUGAGUGACGGUAAUGGGUAAAGAAGCACCGGCUAACUACGUG
rnacentral:rRNA from 1 species